GGAGAAGUUUUUAACAAAAGCGGCAAGUUAUUAUCGUUUUUUGGGGGUUUGAUGACUGGCAGUCAAGAGGUCGUCGGUUCGAAUCCGAUCUUCUCCA
rnacentral:tRNA from 1 species